rnacentral:lncRNA from 1 species
UCGAAUGUCGUUGUCGGUAUCGGUAAUCACUUUGUUUGUCUAAUUUUGUGAACUACAAGCAUUUUGAACUUGAAUAUUUGUGAUUAAUUUUGUUUCAAAACUCCAGUGUUUGCUGUGAAUUGUAUAUGGACUAAAAAUGACAAUGCCCAUGACGCAGUGACAACGGUAACCGCUUGAAGUGAACGUGAUCAUAACAGCCGAUACAGCAUGUUCCAAAAGCCUGCUUUCGGGAGCAACAGCUCCGGUUUUGGUUCUUUCAACGCUGGUAGUUCCACGACUACUCCGUUCGGCGGGUUCAAGACUAACACCGGUACUAGCGCGUUCGGAGCGCCGCCCGCUUUCGGCGCUAGUACCUCUACGCAACCCGCAACUGG